rnacentral:misc_RNA from 1 species
GAUGAAGAACGCAGCGAAAUGCGAUAGGUAAUGUGAAUUGCAGAAUUCAGUGAAUCAUCGAAUCUUUGAACGCACAUUGCGCCCCUUGGUAUUCCGGGGGGCAUGCCUGUUCGAGCGUCAUUAUAACCCCUCAAGCUCAGCUUGGUGUUGGGGCCUGCCGACUGGCAGCCCUUAAAAUCAGUGGCGGCGCCAUCUGGCUCUAAGCGUAGUAAUUUCUCUCGCUAUAGAGUCCCGGUGGAUGCUUGCCAGCAACCCCCAACUUUCUAUGGUUGACCUCGGAUCAGGUAGGGAUACCCGCUGAACUUAAGCAUAUCAAUAAGCGGAGGA